rnacentral:rRNA from 1 species
GCACAAGCGGUGGAGCAUGUGGUUUAAUUCGACGCAACGCGAAGAACCUUACCUGGGCUCGAAAUGUAGUGGACCGGGGUAGAAAUAUCCCUUUCUAGCAAUAGACUGCUAUAUAGGUGCUGCAUGGCUGUCGUCAGCUCGUGUCGUGAGAUGUUGGGUUAAGUCCCGCAACGAGCGCAACCCUUAUCUUCAGUUGCUACCAUUUAGUUGAGCACUCUGACGAAACCGCCUCGGAUAACGGGGAGGAAGGUGGGGAUGACGUCAAGUCCUCAUGGCCUUUAUGUCCAGGGCUACACACGUGCUACAAUGGCCGGUACAAACCGUCGCAAACCCGUGAGGGGGAGCUAAUCGGAAAAAGCCGGCCUCAGUUCGGAUUGGAGUCUGCAACUCGACUCCAUGAAGCUGGAAUCGCUAGUAAUCGCGGAUCAGAAUGCCGCGGUGAAUACGUUCCCGGGC